UCUCCGUAGGUGAACCUGCGGAGGGAUCAUUAAUAGAGAUGGCGGGCCCCCGGGCCCCCGUCCCCAACCCUUUGUCGACCAAACCACUUUUGCCUCGGGGGCAGAGCGGUCUCCGCCGCCCCCGGUGGACCAUUUAACGCUGUCUCUUUGCGUCGGAGUAUUGAUUAAAUAAAUGAAAACUUUCAACAACGGAUCUCUUGGUUCUGGCAUCGAUGAAGAACGCAGC
rnacentral:misc_RNA from 1 species